UGCUGCUUGAGAUGACCGUCUGGCCGUUG
rnacentral:piRNA from 1 species